rnacentral:rRNA from 1 species
CCUACGGGUGGCAGCAGUGGGGAAUAUUGCGCAAUGGGCGAAAGCCUGACGCAGCGACGCCGCGUGAGGGAUGAAGGUCUUAGGAUCGUACACCUCUGUCAGCAGGGCAGAACGGUCACUGUGCUAAUCAGCAGUGAAUUGACGGUACCUGCAAAGGACGCACCGGCUAACUCCGGGCCAGCAGCCGCGGUAAUACGGUGGGUGCGAGCGUUAAUCGGAAUUACUGGGCGUAAAGCGCUCGUAGGCGGGAUGUCAAGUCAAGGGUGAAAUCCCCGCGCUCAACGUGUGAACUGCCUUUGAAACUGUCAAGCUGGAGUGUGUGAGAGGAUAGGGGAUUUCCAGGGUUAGGAGUGAAAUCCGUAGAUAUCUGGAGGAACAGCAGUGGCGAAGGCGACUAUCUGGCACAUAACUGACUCUGAGGAGCGAAAGCGUGGGUAGCAAACAGGAUUAGAUACCCCAUAGUC